rnacentral:tRNA from 1 species
GCGGGAGUGGCGGAACUGGCAGACGCACCAGACUUAGGAUCUGGCGGUUUUAACCGUGGGGGUUCAAGUCCCUUCUCCCGCACCA